AGAAUACUCCCUUCGUCUGGAAAUACUUGUCCUAGAAAUAAAUAAAAUGGAUGUAUCUGUAACUAAAAUAUGUCUAGAAACAUGCAUUUUUAGGACAAGUAUUUCCGGACGGAGGGAGUAUGAC
rfam:Hordeum vulgare subsp. vulgare, WGS project CAJW01000000 data, contig: morex_contig_187000